rnacentral:lncRNA from 1 species
ACAGUUGUAUACCAUCGUUUGGUGUUACACGACAUUGAAAGAAGCUAACGCAAAAUGUUCAAGUUCUUCGUAUUCUUCACCAUUUGCGCCGCCUUGGCCUCGGCCAACAUGGUGCGUGUGCCCAUCUACAAGAA